rnacentral:rRNA from 1 species
AACGAACGCUGGCGGCAUGCCUAACACAUGCAAGUCGAACGAAACCUUCGGGUCUAUUGGCGCACGGGUGCGUAACGCGUGGGAACCGGCCCUUAGGUUCGGAAUAACUCCCCGAAAGGGGUGCUAAUACCGGAUAAUGUCUUCGGACCAAAGAUUUAUGGCCUUUGGAUGGGCCCGCGUUGGAUUAGCUAGUUGGGAGGGUAAAAGCCUACCAAGGCGACGAUCCAUAGCUGGUCUGAGAGGAUGAUCAGCAACACUGGGACUGAGACACGGCCCAGACUCCUAGGGGAGGCAGCAGUGGGGAAUAUUGGACAAUGGGCGAAAGACUGAUCCAGCAAGGCCGCGUGAGUGAUGAAGGCCUUAGGGUUGUAAAGCUCUUUUACCCGGGAUGAUAAUGACAGUACCGGGAGAAUAAACUCCGGCUAACUCCGU